CUUUAAUAAAUAUAUAUUCAAUAGAUACAAAAAAUAGUGCAAGAUACCUAAAGAAAAAUGAACUUUGAAUAAUCCUGCAUUUCGUCUUCAUUUGGCUGCUUAGUAUUGAUACAAGUAGAGACAGAUCCGAUAAAUUACACAUGCAAUUUUUUUCCUUUCUUUUUGAGUAAAACUAAAAAUAAAAAUAAUCUCUAAAACUCUCCUGUGGUCUGCGGCAGAGCCGCCUAUAACAUUACAGUAGUAUACCCAGAUGUUUGAUUGCUCAAUCAUCUACAAAACUGUAUCUAGCCUGCUCCUCAGUUGUCAGUAAUAUGUUCUUCGCAGCCCAACCCAGUGCCAGCAUUUGAUCAUCUAAUGGGGACAAAACCCUUUCUGCUGCUCGCUUGCUAUCCUCAAUCAAUUUAGUCCACUCCUUCAGAACUGAGCCUUCUGGCUCAUUAGCCUCUGAAAUAGUCUCCCACCCACUAAAAAGCAGGGCCUUCCGAAUGUAGCAGGCCUACAUCGCAGCAAAUAUAUGACACUGACAUCUAAAAUUAUCAAUGCAAUUGGAAACAAUAGAGUCAGCUGAUCCCUAUCAGUCAGUGAAAACACAUUUUUGUAGUAGAUAGUUAUUAUGGUCAUCACAAGGCCGAUUAUUCUCUCAAGUUCCUUUUACCUGUAACAAACCCAUCAUAACAUCUGCAGUACCCGCACCCUCGCGUAGACAUAGAAGAAUACCUUGCUAGAAAUUCAGCAGUCAAAGGGAAGAAACAGUGAGUUGAGCAUUACAGGGUAAGUUGUUUCAUAAUUAUACAAAAAUUUUAGAUUUUUAUAUUUAUAGUUGCUUAGAUCUUGUCAACCCUCUGUGAGAGUUCUCCAUGCAUAUGAAAUAGUAAUCCUCGGUGCUUAAAGACUGCAUUGCCAUCAUUGACAACUUGGGUAUCUGAUCCUUGGUGUUUAUGCACCCAAUUCUAAUGGGCCAUAGUUCUUUGCCUGAUCAAGAACCCAAGAAUAGCUUAAGUUGCAUAACUGAUGUGCACUAAGUUCCAUAGCAGUUAAAUUUGAAGAAAGAGAUCACACCAAUGAGGCAUGGAUGAAAAACUCACCUUUGCUCCACGGAAAAUCAAUUCCUUCUUUUUUACUCACUUCUGCAGGUGAAGGCACACGUCCUAACUCAAUCCAUGAAUUUAGUAUGAUUUCAAGCCUAUCCUUUGAUUGUUUUUGAGCAGCAUAUUUAAAAGUGCAGCAAUCAUGAGGCCAAGAUUAUCGAAGCAUACUGUUUGUAUCUGUGCUUUUGCUGAAACUUCACCAGAUUAUCUGCUAGUGAGAAGCUUCUAUGAAUAGCAGACUGCACAUGAAGCAAUAACAUUAGUACUUUACAUCAAAGCAUAAUACCUAACUUAAUAACUGUUGGGGACUGGGGAGUGAUUCCUACAUCUGGUGCCUCUCAAAAUGAUGGUGAAACAGGAGUAGAAAACAUCCAUCAACACACAAGCGAGGAUAAAAAUUUCAUUAACAUUGUCUAUGAUGGCCUAGGUUGAAAUUAUUGUGAGCCAACUAUCUAGAUUUGUACAAGAAAGGGACAUGGACUAAACUUAUAUAUCAUACAAUCAAGUUGUACUGCGUGCUAUACUAUUCAAGUACACAAACUCAAAAUAUCUUCCAAUGCCUAAUGCUGAGGCUAUUCUUCACAAAAAUUGAAAAUUAAGACAACUUAUUUUAUAGAAAGGAGAAUAACAGUUUGUAAAGGAAGAGAUCUUACACCAGUCGCCAAGUAACAUGCCAGACUUAUUUGUUUAGCAAUGUUGGCUAUAGUUGCAAGAAGCAAGAACUGCUGAGGAAAUGCAGGAGUCAGCAGCUCCACUCCAAUGCUUAAACUGAAGAGAACUGAGGUUGAGAACCUAACUCUCUUCAAAUUGGUAUCAAAGGCAGAUGCCAAGCUAGCAGUGUAGAUGCACCUACUCAGCCGUCCAAGUCCAUCCUUCAAGACCCAGUUAAGAGCAGCUGCUGAUGGUAGCGAACGAGAAUACCCAAUGCCUAUAGCCCGAAACAUGGCCUGAGUAGCAAGAACCUGUAAAGCGGAGCUAAAAACGCGGUGCAAGAGCUUCCAUUUCACAUAAUCCAUGUAAUUAUCAGGGACUUGCUUGGGAAUAAAGAAAUUCCUAACAGCCAAACUGGAAACCCGAAACAAUUUACGAAACCCAUCCUCGAAGUCAAGACACAAAGACAAUGCACCGCCAUCAACACUCACCAAUUUCAAGCUGCUCCCAUCCCACAUAUACCUGGAGACCCGACCGGAGUGCCUAAUCACCACCGGUAGGCGCACGGGCAAGUUAGGUCCCGGCCCCUCGUCGAGACCUCUUUCAGGUUCGUAAUUGAUGGAGGUUCUGAGUGAAGCAGCGAGAGUUAGGGUUCUGGAAGAGGAUAAUUCGAGUUUCUUGGAGAUGGGUUUCCUAGGGAUAAAGUGGAAUUGCUGAGCAUUCCAUGGAAAAUGGAAUUGACGAGAAUUGGCGGGUGAGUAUAACGUCGAUUGCAUGAAAAGGAAUUGCAAUAACGUUCAAGUAAGAGCUAAAGAAACAGAGAAACCCUUUGCUUUCUUUUUUUCCCGCCAAAGUUGGUUGCUAGCUUUAAAGUUCCUGGCUUUAUGGUUGAGAACGCCUUUAUGCUGUGUAGUACGCAAGUCCGCGAACGAAAGAGGAGAAGGCGACUGUUUGUGGAGUGGACUUGAAGAGAGAAGAUCAUAGGAAGUGGAGGAGGUGGGUUGCGUGCGGCUAUCUGAGCUUGAGGGAAAGCAACAUUUCCCUCCUUUCUUCUUUCUUUUCUGACUGGAGUUGGCUGUUACGCUAUUAGUUUUAAUUUAAUACUAGCAAAUGGCAAAUUGGCCAUAACAUUCCCUUGACGACAUGACG
rnacentral:misc_RNA from 1 species